rnacentral:rRNA from 1 species
AACGAACGCUGGCGGCAUGCCUAACACAUGCAAGUCGAACGAGACCUUCAGGUUUAGUGGCGCACGGGUGCGUAACGCGGGGGAACCUGCCCUUGGGUUCGGCAUAACUCGGAGGAAUUUGAGCUAAUACAGGAUGAUGACGAAAGUCCAAAGAUUUAUCGCCCAUGGAUGAGCCCGCGUAAGAUAAGCUUGUUGGUGGGGUAAUGGCCCACCAAGGCGACGAUCUUUAGCUGGUCUGAGAGGAUGAUCAGCCACACUGGGACUGAGACACGGCCCAGACUCCUACGGGAGGCAGCAGUGGGGAAUAUUGGACAAUGGGCGAAAGCCUGAUCCAGCAAUGCCGCGUGAGUGAUGAAGGCCUUAGGGUUGUAAAGCUCUUUUACCAGGGAUGAUAAUGACAGUACCUGGAGAAUAAGCUCCGGCUAACUCCGUGCCAGCCGCCGCCGUAAUAC